CAAGGGCCUCCUGAAAGAAUUACAGAAGCAGGCCACGCCACAAGAAAAAUUGGAUUGGCUAAAAGAGUCAGCCCAAGAAGAGAAAGAAUCUGGACUGUGGACCCAAGGAAAGAGAGUAUGUCUGCCCAAAGCUCUCUAUCCUCUGAUAGCUUCAAUAGCUCAUGGGACCACCCACCAAUCUAAGACCAUCAUGAAAGAACUAAUUGACAAAACAUGGGUGGCCCCAGGGAUAAUCCCUGUCCUGGUGAUGCAUACUCAGUCUUGCCUUAUCUGUGCGCAGUGCAACCCGGGAAGAGCUGAGCCUACCCCAACCAAAUGUCUCCCCAAAGCCCAGUACCCGUUCCAACAGAUUCAAAUUGACCACAUCCAGAUGCCAAUGUGCCAAGGGUUUCAAUAUGUGCUAGUAGUGGUAGACUUGUUCUCUGGGUGGCCAGAAGCCUACCCCGUCCGAAAUCAGACAGCCACAACAACUGC